GGGCUGGGUUGAGAAACAGAAUCUUGGUCACCUUGACUGAGAUAUUAACAAACGUCCCCAAGUUUUUGGCCUGGGAAUUUCCUUAGGGUUUUUUUUAUUUUUAUUUGAUUUGAUUUUUAACGAAGCGCAGUGGCCUGAGGGCUGAGGUGGCCAAAGGCGUCUAAAGGAUUUAAACGCCUAAUUUAUUAUGUAUUAAGUGUAUUGUCUUGAGUGUCUUUUUUCUCAUUGGCUAUUUGAAUUUCAUUUCUAGGAGCCGAUAUUGUUCGGUAUAAAAAUAUGCUUGUUUGGUUUUGUCCAGGAGACAAAAUCCAGGUUGACAAAGGUUUGGUUUNGUCUCCCCUGGGAAGGGCCGUUGGGUUUUUAGAACAAUUGCGAAUGUCUUUUGUUCCAAGUGUGUCCGUCGGAACGUAGUGAGCUUGCCCGGGCGCUAGAUUUAGCGACGUUAUUUAUUUAUUUUUACGGUGCCAGCAAACAUAAAACUCUGUCAUGAAGGUGAUUGACUAAAUAGCGGUCGAUAUUAUUGAUCAGGUGUGUGACGGUCGUGCCCCAUCACACCAGGCCCUAUUGCACCAGGCGCCAUACGUUCGAGUGCCAUUUAUUAGGUGUAUUACGGUGUCAGCCAGAACCCCAGAUAGAGAGGGAGGCUGCCUGGGCCUCCGGACGCCUGGGUUCUAUUUCCGGCUCUGCCACAGACUUCCUGGGCCACGUUGGGCGAGUCGCACUCUGCCUCAGUUUCCCCAUUGGUACAAUGGGUCCGGGCCUGGAGGAGCGGUACCCAGGUGCCGCGGUGAUGGGCACCUUGGAGAGCUAGACAGUUUAGGGUCUCUGGGAAUCCCGGCUUGUUGGGGUCUCUGACCCUUGUGUUUCCCACCGUGCUCACUGGGUCUCCACGCUGGCGGGAGGGAGAGCGGGUGUGGGGGGGUGUUCUUCUUCCUACCUGCAGGGGGCGCAGUAAUGUCAUUGCUUCGGUGGCGGCAUCCUCUGGCGCCCCAGUGUUGAGCCUGAUGUUAGAGUCCAGGCAUCAUCAGCGCCUGUGACAUCACAGUCAUGGAUCAGCCUGGUCUCUGAUGUCACCGUCCCGGAAUCGCCCUCCCUGGUGACAUCACAGUCAUGGGAUCAGCCUGGUCUCUGAUGUCACCGUCCCGGAAUCGCCCUCCCUGGUGACAUCAGAGUCAUGGGAUCAGCCUGGUCUCUGAUGUCACCGUCCCAGAAUCGCCCUCCCUGGUGACAUCACAGUCAUGGGAUCAGCCUGGUCUCUGAUGUCACCGUCCCGGAAUC
rnacentral:lncRNA from 1 species